rnacentral:lncRNA from 1 species
GAAGCCCGGGCGGGGCCAUGCCGAAGCCGGCCUCUCUUGCCGCGUGCGGUAGGACCGCGGCAAGGCCGCGCGUGGGCGACCGUCGCCGAGCAGCGACAGCUCCACCGCCUCCUCCCCCUCCCCCAUGGACGAGCUCAAGCCGGGGGAGCGCGUCUCCGAGCCGAAGGCCCGUGGGGGACGCUGAUCCACGUGCGGCGGAGACG